CGAUGAUCCCCAGCUUGCUGGGGGGAUUAGUGGCGAACGGGUGAGUAACACGUGAGUAACCUGCCCUUGACUCUGGGAUAAGCCUGGGAAACUGGGUCUAAUACUGGAUACGACCUUCUGGCGCAUGCCAUGUUGGUGGAAAGCUUUUGUGGUUUUGGAUGGACUCGCGGCCUAUCAGCUUGUUGGUGGGGUAAUGGCCUACCAAGGCGACGACGGGUAGCCGGCCUGAGAGGGUGGACGGCCACACUGGGACUGAGACACGGCCCAGACUCCUACGGGAGGCAGCAGUGGGGAAUAUUGCACAAUGGGCGCAAGCCUGAUGCAGCGACGCCGCGUGAGGGAUGAAGGCCUUCGGGUUGUAAACCUCUUUCAGUAGGGAAGAAGCGAAAGUGACGGUACCUGCAGAAGAAGCGCCGGCUAACUACGUGCCAGCAGCCGCGGUAAUACGUAGGGCGCAAGCGUUAUCCGGAAUUAUUGGGCGUAAAGAGCUCGUAGGCGGUUUGUCGCGUCUGCCGUGAAAGUCCGGGGCUUAACUCCGGAUCUGCGGUGGGUACGGGCAGACUUGAGUGAUGUAGGGGAGACUGGAAUUCCUGGUGUAGCGGUGAAAUGCGCAGAUAUCAGGAGGAACACCGAUGGCGAAGGCAGGUCUCUGGGCAUUAACUGACGCUGAGGAGCGAAAGCAUGGGGAGCGAACAGGAUUAGAUACCCUGGUAGUCCAUGCCGUAAACGUUGGGCACUAGGUGUGGGGGACAUUCCACGUUUUCCGCGCCGUAGCUAACGCAUUAAGUGCCCCGCCUGGGGAGUAC
rnacentral:rRNA from 1 species